rnacentral:ncRNA from 2 species
ACCCAUUAGUCGGGGUGCCGCGUAAGCGGCUGAGAUAACACCCGUGAACCUGAUACAGCUAAUACUGGCGUAGGAAACUAAUUGCAGCCUCUU